CACAUCUAGAUAUGGAGGAUGUCAGAAUUUCACUUGAUGACCAGGAGAAGGGCUUGGAGAACACGGUUUUCGACUCCAUGGAAGAAGAGGGACUCCCUGAGGGAGCACAGAAUCCACCUCCUGAGAACAACAGAGAGGAGAGGGCCAAACACCCCACCUUCUGGAGGCAAAUAUCUAGAUAAGUUGAUGUACCCGGAAGACCUCUGCACACCCUUAGGGGUAUGCCUACCCCUGGUUGAGAACCACUGAUGUAAAUGCAUACAGACCAGUGUCAGAAAAGAGACACCACCAGCUACAACAGGCAACCCUGACUGACACGCAACUACAAGAAGUUCUAAGUUACAUGAGGGCCAGCUGGCCCAAGUAUCUAAAGAACACUACGGAAGCGAGAAGAGACUGCUUUGCAGUACAUGGACGAUUAAGCGAGUCAAAUGGAUACAUGACUCAAGGCGAUUGUAUUGUAAUUCCAAAUGAAAUGAGAGGAGAAAUCCUAAACCUCACCCAUGAAGGACAUACCAUGUUGCAGUGUAAUCGAGACACUGAAAUGCACUUUUGCUCACUUCCAGAACUACUAAUGACAGACAACAGACCACAAUUCCCUGCAGCAGAAUUUAAGUAUACCUCUACCCCGAUAUAACGCGACCCAAUAUAAGGCGGGUUCGCAUACAAGGCAGUAAAGCUCUGACACGCUGCUUUGAGCAGCGUGUUAAGGGUGCUGGGCCGGGGCUAAGGGGUUGGAUAACGGGCAGAGGGUCUCGGGGGUGGUCACGGGCUCCCCCCCCCCAGGGUCUAGGACGCAGGAGCUGUGGGGGGGCAAUUUGGGGGGCCCCGCAGUCCCAGAGUGGCCCAGGAGAUUAGCAGGGGACCGGGAGCAGCCCGCUCCGCUUCCCUCGUCCCAGCCAUGUCGCUCGGGGGAGGGGACUUGGGGGAAGGGAUCCCCCCCCGCACUCACCAGCAGCGGCGGAAGCGGAGCAGCCCGGCCCCAGCCCACUCCACUCCACCAGCUCCCAGCCGCGGCGAUCCACUUCCUGCCGCAGGUGAGUGCGGGACCUUUCCCCAACACACCCCCCACCAGCCACACGGCUGGAGCCGGGGCAAGGAAAGCGGAGCAGGCUGGGGCCGCGUCACUCUGCUUCCCGCAGCAGGUGAGUGCAGGGGACGUCCUUUCUCCAACCUCCCUGCACUCAUCGGCGGCGGAAGUGGAGUGCCGCGGCUAGGAGGUGGCAGAGUGGAGCGGGCUGGGGCCACAUUGCUCCGCUUCCCGCCGCGCCUGGUGAGUGCCUGUCAGGGGGCAGGGUGUGUGGAUAGGGGU